rnacentral:rRNA from 1 species
AGGGUGUAAAACGCUGCAGACUUGGUGUUGGAAGUCCUUUGGGGGCAUUCAGUGCCGGAGAGAAGUUGUUAAGUCUGCUACUUGGGGAGUACGUCCGCAAGGAUGAAACUUAAAGGAAAUUGGCGGGGGAGGCACCGCAACGGGAGGAGCGUGCGGUUUAAUUGGAUUCAACACCGUAAAACUCACCAGGGAAGACUGUUACAUGAAAGCCGAGAUGAAGACUCUGCUAGAUUUUUCAGAGAGGUGGUGCAUGGCGUCAGUGACU